UACGUAGGGUGCGAGCGUUAAUCGGAAUUACUGGGCGUAAAGCGUGCGCAGGCGGUUUUGUAAGCCAGAUGUGAAAUCCCCGGGCUUAACCUGGGAAUGGCAUUUGGGACUGCAAGGCUCGAGUGCGGCAGAGGAGACUGGAAUUCCUGGUGUAGCAGUGAAAUGCGCAGAUAUCAGGAGGAACACCGGUGGCGAAGGCGGAUCUCUGGGCCUUACCUGACGCUCGAGGCGCGAAAGCUAGGGGAGCGAACUGGG
rnacentral:rRNA from 1 species